AUGGCCUGCUUCACUCCAUUGUUUGUCGGUUGGGAUCCUUCCCUGAUCUUCUUGCUUUCGCUGCCACCUGCCCCUCUUGGCGUAUUUCCUUCUUCUCCUAUCCCUCCAAAUCGACAUUGUUGCCACCUCUCCUCCUCCAAGCUGAUAUCCCUGUUUGCUUCUCGUCCUUGCCCAUUGAGCAACAGCCUCGUACCCAAACACUCAUGCUAUGUUACUGAUCUUGCCAACAAAGACACCUAUAUGUGCUAUCAGGUUCCCCAAUUUGCUUGUUUUGUUGACAGAAAAUCCCCACCGGGUUUACUGGAUAAUUUUUCUUUGGGAAGUGUUUCCUAUGGCCAUCUCAUAUUGGCCAACCAACAACAAUCAUGUCUUCUUGUUGAUGUCUUCACAGGUGUUAGUGUCUCAGCUCCGCAGCUACCGGUUGGUGGAUAUAUUCUCCUAUACUAUGCUGCCCUCACGGCUCCUCUUUCGUCACGCAACUCACAUCUCCUGGUCAAUGCUGGGUGCCACAAUUUCUUUUGGAGUGUUGGUAGCAAUUCUUGGUUGAGACGUUCUCCUAGCAAUGGAACGAUUAAGCAAGUCGUGGUAUUCAAAGGCCAGGUCUUUGGCAUGGAUCAUGAUCGCAGGCUCUAUAUCGUGCAUUUGGAACCCCAGAUAUGCAUACAAAAAAUAGCAGUUGAUCUGGAUAGAAGCAUGACCAGCAAAUGGCAUCUUUCGCACCCAUGGCCUGUCGCGUGCAGUGACAUGCUUCUGAUGGUUGGUUGUCGGGAAUCUUUCGCAUCAACAGGGGAUACCUUUGAAGCAUUCCGUCUGGACUUAUCAAGUGAACCUGCAAAGUGGGUGAAGGUGGAGAAGCUAGAUAACUGGGCGAUCUUCAUCAGCGUGGACCAGAGAAGCCAACCCUUGUGUUGCAUGAACCCUGAAAGAUGGGGAGGAAGGAGCAACUGCGUAUACUGCUAUAGUCUUUCUAAAGAGUGGUUCACAUUUGAAUUGGGCAAACCGUUGGAGGGAGAUGCAUCCAAUCCAAGUGUCUUUUUUUCCAUACAUUGUGACACUAUGAUGCAACCUAUGUGGGUUGUGCCCAGUAUGUUGUAUUCGUGUUCGUGA
rnacentral:rRNA from 1 species